GAUGAACGCUGGCGGCGUGCCUAAUACAUGCAAGUCGAGCGAACAGACGAGGAGCUUGCUCCUCUGACGUUAGCGGCGGACGGGUGAGUAACACGUGGAUAACCUACCUAUAAGACUGGGAUAACUUCGGGAAACCGGAGCUAAUACCGGAUAACAUGUUGAACCGCAUGGUUUAACAGUGAAAGACGGUCUUGCUGUCACUUAUAGAUGGAUCCCCGCCGCAUUAGCUAGUUGGUAAGGUAACGGCUUACCAAGGCAACGAUGCGUAGCCGACCUGAGAGGGUGAUCGGCCACACUGGAACUGAGACACGGUCCAGACUCCUACGGGAGGCAGCAGUAGGGAAUCUUUCGCAAUGGGCGAAAGCCUGACGGAGCAACGCCGCGUGAGUGAAGAAGGUCUUCGGAUCGUAAAACUCUGUUAUUAGGGAAGAACAAAUGUGUAAGUAACUAUGCACGUCUUGACGGUACCUAAUCAGAAAGCCACGGCUAACUACGUG
rnacentral:rRNA from 1 species